rnacentral:lncRNA from 1 species
AAGAAAGAUUUCUUUUGGUUCUGCUGGGUGUCUGACUCCUCCUUCCUUGCUCUCGUUUAGGUCUUCAUGAAAUUAAGGGUGUGUCAGAAUGAGAUCACUGCCUGCUGGUGUGGUAUGUGGCUGGAAUGGCUUCUGAUGCCAGAAGGAUCUUUUUUCAGUUAUCACAGCUGUCACUCAUAAGGGUUUUGUCUUCAGAUGGAAUAAUUUAUCUGUUACAUUAACAUUUGGAAGCAUGUUGAGUUAAUGCUGAGAUCAUGAAGAUUUACAGAAACCUCAUGUUUAGCCAUGUUUUGCAAACAACAGGCAAGAAGAGAGACCAUUAUGAUUAUUUGGGCAUCUGAGAGAAUUGUGGCAGGAAAUGUCAAACCCAGUUACUGCAAAUUUCCAGACAAACCUCUGAAUUCCAGGGUGGAGGAAACAAAGUAAACCUCUAGGUAUGUGUAUAGUAUUUAUAUCCUUGCUCUAUUCUCAAAAUGUCUAAAGGUUCUCAGGCAUG